UACGGAGGAUGCGAGCGUUAUCCGGAUUUAUUGGGUUUAAAGGGUGCGUAGGCUGGUAAUUAAGUCAGUGGUGAAAUACUCCGGCUCAACCGGGGAGCUGCCGUUGAUACUGGUUACCUUGAGUUUAGAUGAUGUGGGCAGAAUGUGUCAUGUAGCGGUGAAAUGCAUAGAGAUGACACAGAACACCGAUAGCGAAGGCAGCUCACAAAGCUAUUACUGACGCUGAUGCACGAAAGCGAGGGGAUCAAACA
rnacentral:rRNA from 1 species